rnacentral:rRNA from 1 species
GACGUAGGGCGCGAGCGUUGUCCGGAUUUAUUGGGCGUAAAGAGCUCGUAGGCGGCUUGUCGCGUCGUUCGUGAAAACCUGGGGCUCAACUCCAGGCUUGCGGGCGAUACGGGCAGGCUAGAGUCCGGAAGAGGAGAGUGGAAUUCCCGGUGUAGCGGUGAAAUGCGCAGAUAUCGGGAAGAACACCCGUGGCGAAGGCGGCUCUCUGGGACGGUACUGACGCUGAGACGCGAAAGCGUGGGGAGCAAACAGG